UCGCCAAGGAGUUUUAUUUAGAAAAUCUAUUUUCGUUCUCUGUUUUUCAUAUGCACGGAUAGGUGCUGGUGCAAUUGAGACCGAGUACAUUGUAUGGACGAUUGGGCAACUGUGUUGCACUCCAUUUCGAUGGAUGGAAAGUAAAUGAUAUUAUUCCAACUGUGCAUGAUAUUAUUGAUCGACUAUCCAUAUGCAUGCUUAUAUAUUCUGAAAUUUCAGUAUCCAAUUAUGCAUGCUGCUUUGCUUGCUGCAAAACAAUUUAUAUAUUUCUGAGAUGCUUAUCUUUGAAUAUGGACAUCAUAGUAUCUUGUCAAUUCCUGCUGAUUUGGACUGAAUAAUAUGGUGACAAAUUCCUAAGUCUGCAGCCAGUUCAUGCACUUGAUUACAUCAUGUCUAUGGGGUUUGUUGCAACACAAUUCCAAUCUAUUGUUACUUGAUAAUAGUUUUGCUCUUAUGUAAUGUGUAUAGGCUGUCUUUAACCUGCACAUACUAAUAAUUCUUAGCUCUUAUACAGAUUGCAAUAUUUUUUGCGGGAAUUAUACUUUUGCAUCAAAUGUUUCCUACGGAAUGAUCUCUUGUGGAAGUUAUACUUCCCUAACUGAUUACCACUUCAAGUCACACAGUUAAGGUUGGAUUAGAUUGUUGACCCCAUUGCUUUGCUAACUGAAUUAGUGUUUGGUGACUUUAUUUUGUGAAUAUGACUAGUUGAGUUCCUGUUCAGAAUUCAGAUAAGCAACUUGUUUUUGUUCAGAGAUGUAAAUGUCCAGAUGUGUGUGCUUCUUAGUUGUCACUGCAAGAUAUGCAUUCACCCGAACGAUGCUGAUCUGGUUUGCUAAUACAAUUUUGGUGCUACAUGAAGAGUUUGAUUGGUUUGAUUGCUUGGUAUGAGUUAAUAUAUUUGGAUCAAUAUACUUUCUUAAUUAUUGCAGAUGUUCUGAUGCAUUGGCCCCUCUAUACAUUGUGGUUCAUGAAUCAUGAUACUAGUUUGCAUGAUCAAUGUGCCUUGUUCUAUCUGAAAUGCUUAUGGUAUGCCCCAUUGGCUUCAUCUUUAAUCCCUAACGUUGGGUGUUGCUGUCUCUACAGCAAUGAAGGGAUCGGUCCAGCUGCCUUCCUGCAGAGCCCAUUCUGACUGAAGCUGGUGGAGACGAGCAGAAGGCCGAUAACGUGACGUGAAUCCCCCAAUCUCUGCUGAUUUCGACUCAAACGCAGCCUUUUCGAGUAUCCUUUGUACAGGUGUCGGGCGCUAGGACCAUCUUCUUGUGAAACCUAUAUGUGCGGAGCUCCAAGAUCACAUUAUAGCACAUGGUCGGGCUCCAAGAUCACAUUAUAGCACAUGGUCGGAUGAAACAAGAUUGACUUUUGUUUGCAUUAUUGAAGACGUCAAAUAAGCUUUCAGAUAAUGGUGAAGAAAGUGUAGAAAAUUAAUGUUAGCUUGAUGGUUCAUGUCUUCCGGAGACAUCCCUUUGUAUGCCUGGAAUGUGAUCCCUACUAACCCUUCUUAUGGUGUGAUAAUGUGUUCCAAAGAAAUUAAAUGCGAGAUGCAGCCAUGCUGGGGAAGGCCGGUAUAUGCAUUUUUUUUCUUUCCUUAACUUGUAUAUGCCAAUCAAUGGCUAGAUUCUAGAUUCAAAUUACAGCUAUGUAAGUUCUUUCCUCUAUCCUUUUAAUUAA